CUCGGCAGCGCGGAAGAAAGCGCUCCUUUUGUGCCCCGCCGCCGUGAGGGAACGGAGAGGCUCUGGUGGGCAGGGCUGCUUCAGCUCGCCGCCAUGAGGGCAAGGAGCGGCUCUGGUGAACCGAGCUCAUUCCAUGAGGGCAAGGAGCGGCUCUGGCGGGCCUGACUCACCGCCAUGAGGGGCCACCGCCGCCGCCAUGAGGCCUUCAGCCGAUGACCGAUCGCGGUGACCCGCAGCUGGGGGUGGCCUGGAGCCGCCCGAAGGAGCAGCCCUGAGGUGGCCCGGCCCCGUCGUGUGUGGAACCCGAGCUGUGCUGUGCUGGGACAGCCGGGGAGGCUCUCCGGGAGGGCACUGGAGCCACGUGGGUGAGGUGUGACCGUGAGCCAGCGAGGGGAAAUGGGUAAACUGUUGGUGUGGGGCUUCCUGGAGCAGCAGGAGCGGUCAGAAGUAAAGCUGUCGAUGCUGCUUUGAAGAUCCUUGUUUAAAAGGUGAAGAUGGAAACCUGGAACCCGUAGUUUAAACAGGGCGGCUGGAGAAUUUGUUUUCAGAAUGUGGAUGUAGGAAAUGAAAACAUCAAAGGUGGUUUGGGGCAAGGUAUAACAAGAACUAUGUGUACAAUUUAUUGUUAAUCUCCUCUCAUUGCUUGUUGGAAAUACAUUUUUACAUGACCUCAAUUAAACGUAUUUGUAUUUAAGCUU